AGUCGAACGAAGGCUUCGGCCUUAGUGGCGCACGGGUGCGUAACGCGUGGGAAUCUGCCCCUUGGUUCGGAAUAACAGUUGGAAACGACUGCUAAUACCGGAUGAUGACGUAAGUCCAAAGAUUUAUCGCCGAGGGAUGAGCCCGCGUAGGAUUAGGUAGUUGGUGUGGUAAAGGCGCACCAAGCCGACGAUCCUUAGCUGGUCUGAGAGGAUGAUCAGCCACACUGGGACUGAGACACGGCCCAGACUCCUACGGGAGGCAGCAGUGGGGAAUAUUGGACAAUGGGCGAAAGCCUGAUCCAGCAAUGCCGCGUGAGUGAUGAAGGCCUUAGGGUUGUAAAGCUCUUUUACCCGGGAUGAUAAUGACAGUACCGGGAGAAUAAGCUCCGGCUAACUCCGUGCCAGCAGCCGCGGUAAUACGGAGGGAGCUAGCGUUAUUCGGAAUUACUGGGCGUAAAGCGCACGUAGGCGGCUUUGUAAGUAAGAGGUGAAAGCCCAGAGCUCAACUCUGGAACUGCCUUUUAGACUGCAUCGCUUGAAUCAUGGAGAGGUCAGUGGAAUUCCGAGUGUAGAGGUGAAAUUCGUAGAUAUUCGGAAGAACACCAGUGGCGAAGGCGGCUGACUGGACAUGUAUUGACGCUGAGGUGCGAAAGCGUAGGGAGCAAACAGGAUUAGAUACCCUGGUAGUCCACGCCGUAAACGAUGAUAACUAGCUGUCCGGACACUUGGUGUUUGGGUGGCGCAGCUAACGCAUUAAGUUAUCCGCCUGGGGAGUACGGCCGCAAGGUUAAAACUCAAAUGAAUUGAC
rnacentral:rRNA from 1 species